CAUUGACAGACACAAAGGCAAAACACCAAUGCACAUAAAAAUAAAUCACUAAAAAAAGAAGACAUGGAACUGAAUAGCCUUGGGCCCCAAUACUAUGUACAAGCUGCCUAUCUCUUCUUCAGUCAAGCGUCUAGCCUGGAGGCUUUCUCUAAUUUUGGGCACCCAGCCCCAGAACAUUAUCUAAUAUGUCAACAGUUCAGAUAAAAGGACUUGUGCAGGUGGCUGGAGGGAGGCCAGAGCUGCUUGUGGGCCAGUUUCUUCCCAAAAGGCAGCUUACCUACUAGUUCCUCAGGGAACUUGCCCCACUGGGGAAGAACCCUCACUAACACCUCCAUGAUUAUCAAUGACCUAGGAGGUCUUGCUCUAGCUCACUUGCCCCUCCCUGUUCCCCAGGGGCUGCUCUCUUACACUGCUUAAGGUGGAUGGCAUUCAGACAGUCUGCACUGAGGAAGCAAAUGGGACUGAAGCCCAAUGCCCAAGCAUGUGCAGCUCCAUGAAGUCUACCGCUGUCUGAAGGCUUCGGGAGGGAGGCUGAAGGAGGCCCAGCCCUGACACCCUAAGAGGCAGACCUUCAGGAGAAGCAGCAGCAAGAUUCAGGGAGGGCCUAACCAGGGAGAUGUGAUGGAAGAGCAGAGGCCUUGGAAACCAACCGGAACCCAGAGGGGUGGUGUACACCGUAAUCCCAGCACUCGGGACUGCUGUGAAUUUGAGGUGUGGGCUACAGCAAGACUCUUUAAAAAAACAAAAAGAAAGAAACAAGUUGGCUUCCAGGUGUUUGACAGGCAUGAGAACUGCCCAUGAGGCCAGGGGACAAUGCAAGACACCUGCUGUGAGACACAAACUGUCAUCAUCUCUGCCUUAGCCUUGCUCUGCUGAGCUGGUUUUUACCCUCAGACUUCUGUCAACACUGUUACCACUUUACCUGGUGAGCUCAGCUCAGUCUUACCCACCUUUCCCAGAAAGGCCUCCUCCACUAACCUCCAGGUUGGUGUGAUGGCCACCAGCAUGCUUUUAUGUCUCUACCAGCAUGGGUCAGUGGGCUGUGUAUUUCUGAACCUCUCCCUGUCUAGACUGUUCCUAGAUCUUGACCCACUAGAAAAGAAGUACAAAUAAAACCUAAGCCCUUGGGAAUCA